GGGCCUCGAGUCGACUAGCAUGCGAGUCGAUGUAGCAAUACAUGGCGUACUGCUCAGUAACACGUGGAUAACCUACCCUCAGGUCGGGGAUAAACCCGGGAAACUGGGUAUAAUACCCGCUAGACCUCGAAGGCUGGAAUGCAUCGAGAUUGAAAGCUCCGGCGCCCGAGGAUGGAUCUGCGGCCUAUCAGGUAGUAGUGGGUGUAGCGUUCCUACUAGCCUACGACGGGUACGGGUUGUGAGAGCAAGAGCCCGGAGAUGGAUUCUGAGACACGAAUCCAGGCCCUACGGGGUGCAGCAGGCGCGAAAACUUUACAAUGCCGGCAACGGCGAUAAGGGGACCUCGAGUGCCAGGUUACAAAUCUGGCUGUCGAGAUGCCUAAAAAGCAUUUCAUAGCAAGGGCCGGGCAAGACCGGUGCCAGCCGCCGCGGUAACACCGGCGGCUCGAGUGGUAACCGUUAUUAUUGGGUCUAAAGGGUCUGUAGCCGGCCGGAUAAGUCUCUUGGGAAAUCUGGCAGCUUAACUGUCAGGCUUUCAGGAGAUACUGUCUGGCUCGAGGCCGGGAGAGGUGAGAGGUACUUCAGGGGUAGGGGUGAAAUCUUGUAAUCCUUGAAGGACCACCAGUGGCGAAGGCGUCUCACCAGAACGGACCUGACGGCAAGGGACGAAAGCUAGGGGCACGAACCGGAUUAGAUACCCGGGUAGUCCUAGCCGUAAACGAUACUCGCUAGGUGUCGGCCACGGUGCGACCGUUGUCGGUGCCGUAGGAAGCCGUGAAGCGAGCCACCUGGGAAGUACGGCCGCAAGGCUGAAACUUAAAGGAAUUGGCGGGGGAGCACCACAACGGGUGGAGCUUGCGGUUUAAUUGGAUUCAACGCCGGG
rnacentral:rRNA from 1 species